rnacentral:tRNA from 1 species
GCCCGGGGGGCUCAGUCGGUUGAGCGUCCGACUUCUGCUCAGGUCAUGAUCUCACGGUUCGUGGGUUCAAGCCCCACGUCAGGCU